rnacentral:rRNA from 1 species
AGAGUUUGAUCAUGGCUCAGGACGAACGCUGGCGGCAUGCUUCAUACAUGCAAGUUGAACGCCCCGCAAGGGGUAGUGGCGGAAGGGUGAGUAACGCGUAGGAAUCUGCCCUGGAUUGGGGGAUAACCUGAGGAAACUCGGGCUAAUACCGCAUAUUGCCGAAAGGUGAAAGAUUUAUUGAUCCAGGAUGAGCCUGCGUAUGAUUAGCUAGUUGGUAGGGUAAUGGCCUACCAAGGCUUCGAUCAUUAGCUGGUCUUAGAGGAUGAUCAGUCACAAUGGAACUGAGACACGGUCCAUACUUCUACGGAAGGCAGCAGUAGGGAAUUUUGCGCAACGGACGAAAGUCUGACGCAGCAAUGCCGCGUGUAGGAAGAAGCAUCUUGGUGUGUAAACUACUGUCGGCGGGG